rnacentral:lncRNA from 1 species
CUAAUCCUAUGUUCUAACCAUUUAAAAUUUCUCACAUAUAAUUUCGCAUAUUGUAUGCCUUUAAUUCUAUGUUUCUCUCUUUAAAAUACUUUAAAGAUAUAUAUAUACACAUUAUCAAAUAAAAUUUUAUUCGUCUCUAUCCUAAAUAUCAUUCACCAAAACCAAACUAUAAUGGUCUUACAUGUCCUUUCAAUUCUAGAUUUUUCUUUUUAAUUUUUAAAAUUCAUUGAGAAGAAUUUUUGUUAAGGUGUUCCAUUUUUUUUUUUUUUUAACGUUCGAAAGCAGUUUUAUUUAUUAAUUCAUGUAUUCACCAUUAUUAUUAUUAUUGAAAAUUUAAUGGAGUUAAAUUGAGGUAGAUGGAAAAUAAUGUCAUAUCCCAUUAACUCAAUUGAAGAAUUAUAAAGUCAAUAUAAUGACUGUGAGUGUCAGAGUAUAUAUAUAUACCAAAAUCAACUUUAAAAUUAAUCUUAUUAUUAUAAUUAUUAUAUAAUAAUUAAAUUAACAUUCAUAGAUUAAAAAAAAUCUUUCUCAGGAUGGUGAAUGUCAAACUAUCAAGUGCACAUGGAUAUGGGUUUGUGCCCCUAUAUUAAAUGUUAUCAUAAAUAUUGGCCACGAUGCAUAAUUUCUUGACCUACAAAAUUGGAGGAAUUGUUUCUUUUUUCUUUUUAUCAUAAAAUAUUAUAUUUGAGAAGAUAAAUCAAACAUACUUCAUAUCCAAGUUAGCACAUGAUUUUCCAUUUUCGAAAACAAACAUCAUGCAAUAGUUCAAUGAGGAAUAAUUACAUUAAUUUACAAAAUAUAACUAGAGUAGUUAGACAUCAAUCAACCUCAUUUGCGAUUUAAUUCCUCUUUUAAAUAUGAAAUGGAUUUAGUUAUUCCAUUAUAUAAAGAUGAAAAGAAAAUUGGAUUAUAAAAGAUUAGAGAGUAACUUAGGAAAAAAGUAAUGUAGGAUUUUAUAACUUACUUACUCAAUCACCCAUAGGGGAAAAAAAUCUCAAAUACCCACAUAAUUUUUCGAUAAUGUUAUAGCUUCCCUUUACCAUUUAAUGUUGUCAUUAAUUUGUGGCACAUUACUUCCAGUUCAAGGUUUUUGAAGUUCAUAUCAGACAUUUAUGGAGGGGGAAAUGGAUGAUGAUGAACAAAAUGUGGAGAGUUCAAUUUCAUCUUCAUUUUCUUUUCCCAUAAAAAGUUAGUAAAAGUCAAUGACAAGGUAUAUGAAUCCUCUCGUUAGUUGAGGCAUGUAUUUUUAACCCAAAUAUUCGAAGUUACAACUUUUCAUCUCAAAGUAAUUUAGGGUGAAAAGAGAUGAUAUGUAUGUUAUAAUGUUUUCAAGAGUUCUCUACCUAGAACCAUUAAAGAGUACAAUUCAACUAUAACUAUAACAGAAUAUAUAUUUGGAAUUCUCCAACAAUUGACUCGAAAGAAAUAGUCUGUACUAUAAAUUUUUAUCUCCAAGUAAUUCAGAGCAAAAAAAGAAACAUGACAUUUUGAAGAGACUACUUGAAUGGUCUACCAAUACGGAACAUGAAUUACACGAGUAAGAUUCUAAUUGUAUUGAACAUACCAAUCCAUGAUGUGGUCAUUAAAAAAAUUAGAUUCAUAUGUUCAAAAAAUAGAAGAUUACAGAUUGAAUCGUUAUCAGAAUUGUACCUUAUUAGAGUAGAAGAAGACUCUCCUUAUAAGAAUCUGCAUAAACCCAAUGAGAUCCCAAUUCAAUUCCAAUAUCUUCAAUGCGAUCCAGUUCAGUGUCAACCAAUGCAAGGCUGGGGUUCCCCAUCUCUUCAAUCUGCCUAACAGUGAGAAAUUUAUAGUCUAAGAGGCUCCAAGGUCUUGUUAUUUUCCCAUGCAAUGGCAGAACAAUAGAGUUUAAUCUCACCCAAGACCCCAUUUUCAAAGCCCAUGUGUCACACACUUGCUUCCCGUUCCCACCAUCAGGCCUGCAAUGGAAAAUAGAAAGAGAUUCUUGGACUACUCCCAAGCAUAAUGGUGGAGUGUCUAUGUAAACCAAACAAUCAGGCAACAUUAGUCUAUGAAACUCCUCAGUGGCUAUGUCAAAAGAGAGAAUGGAAUUGGGAAUUCCACCAUUUUUGUGCUUCACAAUCCAAUAAAUAAGCCCAUUAGAGCAGAUGGAUUUGGACAACAAUCUGCAGUCAAGUGCAGUAGGAAUUGUAGGAACAGAAGAAACUCUCCUCCAACAAUCAGCUUUGAGACUGUAAAUUUCCACUUGAUAACAGCAACUCCAUUGCUCAAUCCUCACAAUUCUCAACACUAUGUGAUCGUUCGUUGCUUGAUGGAAGCCAAAUGCUAGGUAGUUUAGAGGCCAACAAUGGUCCCAUUUGGGAAUCAAACUACUGGGAAGCAACCUAGUUUUCCUAACAGAAGGGUUCCAUAUAUAAAUUGGAUCAACAUCCAAUAGACUUGCAGACGAAAUGCAAACUAACCCAUUAUAUGAUCCACAAACAGAGAGUUUAUAGCCUAGAUUGGCCUUCAUAGGAAUCUCUGAUCGAAAAGUUUCAUUGAAUGUUUCAGCAUUAACAAGUGAGAAACAUGCUUUCUGGUCUGUGGGGGAGCUAUUGAUUAUGAGCAGAGAAUUUGGGAUUCUCUUUUCCAAAUGGGCAUUAACAAACAAUGGGUUCUGAACUAAUUUGUUCCAUUCUUUGCAUACACAUCUGAAUCGCAGAAGCGAUUUCACAGGUAAAUACGAAAGAAUCUCAAUCAAAAUUUCAGUUGGACAAUUUACAAACACAUCGUGGGAAUCUAGUAGUACUCGCAUAGUUAGGCAGGAAAUCCAAACGACAGAAACCAAGUAGACAAUAUUAACGAAAAUAGGUUGAAAUGCAAGAGCAACCCCCAAGAAAAGAAGUAAAAUCUGCAGAUUUCACCUGUGAAUCAAAAGUAAUUUGAACUAAACUCAAAUGAAGAUUGCAAUCAAACAAUUUUUAUCGAGAUCUAUGCUAAUAUUUGGAGCACAAUCAAAGUGGAAAAAGGGAAGAAACGGUUGGUUGAUCAAUUGAAAGUGAAAGAAAAAAGGUAAGAUUCUGAAAGAAAGAGGAAAAAGAAUUCACACCAUCAAUCUUUGAACUGAUUCGAUUGGUUCCAAAAGUGUUUGGGAAGAGAGAGAGAGGGUGAGAUUAAAGUUAUAGUAAGAAGCUUUAAGUUGAAGAUUGGGAUUUGGGAUAUGGAAGCUCAGUAGUGGCUGCCAUACGCAGAAUAUUGUCCGUUACGGCGCCCACUACGCACAUUGAACAUCGUGACGAGCGCCAUAAUAUUGCCGCUAAGCUUUCUCCCAUUUCUCCCGCUUUAAUUUACUAUUCACAUAAAGCUCCAAUACAACCAAAAUCCCACUUGGCUCAAAUUAUGUAUUUUCUAAAUUCUGAAUUCAUAUCUAUUGAAAACUCUUAUCUAAUUUUAAAUAUCGUAUAAUUAUAUUUUAAAAAAUCAAACAAAAAUACAAUGAACUGAAUCUACAUUUCUUAAAUAUACAAUAAAAUGUUUAUAUAUAUAUAUAUAUAGAAAACAAAAAUAAACGAACCAUAUAAACUAAUUUAGACCGCCCACCCUAUAUGUUGGGAUUGAUAUUGAAAUUCAAAAGAAAGAAAAGUAGGGGAGAAAAGGCAUAUUCUAAAUGCAAUUAUUGUUUUAGAAGAAUAAGACAUUAGUCCAUAUUUUGACUAUAAUCUUUUUCUUUCUUUCUUUCUUAAAAGAAAAAACUAUAAAAUAAAUUAUUCAUUUUAAAAUAAUCUAUUAUAAAUUAAGAAAGUGAAAAUUAGUGAAAAAUCAAUUUUACACAGUAUACACAUAUAGAAGUGUUAGGUUUUAAAACUAUUAUAACACUAUACCUAAACUUCAAAGAUUAAAGGAUCAAAUUGGUAUUUUCUUUUUCAUAAAAAGUGAAUAAUUGUUAUUUAUUAAAAAUAAAUACAUAUUUUUUUUGUGAUUUUGAAAAUUAUUCUAGGCGAAAAACUAAGUGAGCCUAAACACGCAUCCCACACCGAGCCCAACAAACAAUAGCCUACAACGAAUAUAUGAGCUCAUGUUCCAUUGGGCCCAAACGAACAUCCCGAAACUCAUGAACUGAAUAGGCACGAACCGACCCGAAUACGAUUAGUGUUUCUUCCUCUAAAAAUCUUCGUCGCCGUAGCCAAGGUCAUCCUCAACCUUCUGCGCUGCGUCCUCGGCGAUCUGGUCCUCCACAUACUCGACGCCC